UUUUAAAAUUUUUUAUAGAGACAGAGUUUCAGUAUGUUGCCUGUCUCCUCUUUUUUAUUCCAUCUUUCCGUGAUUUCCAACACUUCGGAAAAUGCUGAAAUUGACAGUUUCCUUUGGGUCAUGGCCACCCUUGGGACUCCCCUGAACUGUGGUGCUGCACCAGCCCUGCCGUCCACACCCGAGCCCCUUCUCUUUCAGUCUCUUUUCCUUCCAAGUGAGCCUGUCCCAGAUUCCAUUCUCUGAAGGCCCAGAUUGGAUCCCUCCCAGAGAGAUACCCUUGUGUCUCUUAACACUGUAACAGGCAAGAGGAAAUCCUGCUAGGAUUCCAGGCAUAGCGAUGGAUUGGUUAUUUAGAAUUAUCCCAGGCCAAUGUUUGGAUCUGGGGAAAAUCACUCCAGGGGAAGACCUGUUACCUCAAUCUCUAUUUGAGGUCACCAGGGAGGAGUUGAUGUCUUCCGUCAGGCAGACACAUUUCUAGGAAGCAUCAAUAUCAGCCUCUCCUCCACCCUGGGGGCCAGCAGAGGGAACAUCAAUUCUGCAGCCGUAGGCAGGGGCAGCUUGGGUUGAGCGCCAGGUCUCUGUGGCCUGGAGCAAGUUGCAUCAAUUCUCAGGCUCAGAGCUGCCCCUGCAGAGUUGAGAGUGAGAGCUGGGCCCACUUCUCUCUCCAGGAUGUGUUUCUCCAAGUAUAAAACUAAGCACGAAGGGCCUCUCAGAGCAAGGGGACAUUUUUACAGGAGACAAGAGAUCUCAAACUGAUGGCCCCUGGCUGAAACUUGGAACUAGAUGUGAGGUUUUUUUCUUCCUUUCUGAUAUGGUGUUUUUAAAAAUAAUUUUGAAUUAUGUUUAUGAACCAGCAAAUUUCAUCUCCGAAUUCUAAUUUUUGUUUUGUCUCGAUCAGAAGCUCUGAGCUGGUGUGCACCUGCAGUCCGAGCUACUUGGAGGCGGAGGCGGGAGGAUCGCCUGAGGCCAGGGGUUCAAGGCUGUCGUGCACUUUGAUCAUACCUGUGAAUAGCCACUGCACUCCAGCCUGGGCAACGUAGUGUGGCCCUGCCUCUUAAAAAGAAGAUUAAAGAGAAUAGCAGAAGCUCUGGUCACACUGGUCCACAUUCCCACCUGGUUACAUGGCAGCUGGAGCUGAGGAGCAGCCGUCUUCUUGAGGAGGGCACCAGCUCUCCUGUUCCGGGAGCCCCGAGCACUUUUAUCCGGCCUGCUUGCUCUGACCAUCAGAUCCUCAGCUCUGGAGCUUCCAUGGUGAUGUCACCUCAGGCAGGACCUGGUGAUCUGGAGUCACUGUGCUGGCCAGUGGAGAAUCAAGGGGCAGGUGCAGCCCCGCAUGGAGUCCCUCGGAGGCUCUCCUCCGCUCCUCCAGGAUGAGCAUAGGGGCCUGGGUGCCUGAAUCCCUCCGAGCCUCAGUUUCUUCAUCUGUUAAACACGGCUGACCCAGAGACGGCCCCUUGGUGUAGAUCGCAUCAGAGGCCACUCAGGAAGUGGAAGGUGGUCCAUCAAUACCUGUUGCCUUCAGUGGGAAGAAUCAAUGAACAUGUGAGUGGCCGUGGCAGGCAGGAUGGCUCAGCCCCACUGGAGAGGAUUCCAGCGAUUCGUCUUUACCCAUCACCAUGGCAAUGCCGAGAGAAAGACACAGCUGUUUGUGCCAUUUUACAGAUGAGGAAACAGAGGCUGAGUUAAGUGACUGAUAGGGUUUUGCUGUGUCCCUGCCCAAAAGGGAGACCAGGUGGAGGUAAUGGAAUCACAGGGCCGGUUCCCCCAUGCUGUUCUCGUGAUAGUGAGGGAGUUCUCGCGAGAUCUGACGGUUUUGUAAGCGUUGGGUAGUUUCUCCUGCGUUCAUUCUCUUUCCUGUCGCCCUGUGAAGAAGGCACCUUGCUUCCCCUUCGCUUUCUGCCAUGAUUGUAAGUUUCCUGAGGCCUCCCCAGCCAUGCAGAACUGUGAGUCAAUUAAACUUCUUUCCUUCAUACAUUUUUCGUAGACGACCCAGUGUUGGGCGGUUGUUUAUAGUGGUGUGAAAAUGCAGGAACACAGUGACUUGCUUGAAAUCAUGGAGCCUUGGGGCUGGUAGCCUUGAGGUUUGAACCCAGCGCAUCUGACUGCAGCGCCUCAGUCGUCUGAACGCCACCAUGGCCUGCUGGGUGAGCCUUGGGUGCUGAGCGGACAGCCAGGUGGAGGUUCUGGCCUUUCAAUCCUCCCCUACACCUGCCUCCUUCCCUGGCUGCCUGCCAGCCUCCAGGGCCGCUGUUCUGCCCCUCCACUCUCUAGGCUCGUGCCUUGCUCCUGUCUCAGGAUUUCUGCACUGGCACCUGCCAUUUCCUUCACCUGGAACCCUCUUCCUGCCUGGCUCCUUCCUGUCAUUUCGUUCAGGUCGUGGUUGGAACUCUGCCUCCUCCUGAUAGGGUGAAAAUGGCGUCGCUGUUGACUCGCUAACACAGCGUGCUCUUUCCUUCGCCGUGGUGCAGAUCCCAGUCUGUAUGUGGUUUACUUUUGUUUGUUAACUCACGUAGGGCUGCUUUACUCCAGUCAGGAUGCAGGUUUCAUGAGGGCAAGGGCUGGGCCUGCCUGUUCACAGCUGUGUCCCCAAAUCCUAGCACAGCAGCCGAAACACAGGAGGUGCUCAGUCAAUCCUCGCUGACUUUAGCAAACGGAAUCAGCAAAUGCCGGGCUGAGGCAGGAGAAUCCUGACCGCGAAGCAGCUCCGCCAGUGUGAGGUGUUCACGUUGAUGGAACCUUCAGGUGCUGGAAGGCCCGAAAUCCUGUCUCUCUGCCUUCCCUGGGUGGGACAGACCUGGCCCUGACCCAGCCCCUCUGGAAGCCUUUCUGCUCUAUUUGUUUCUAUCACUGGUGACCAAAAGCUGAGCUGCCACCUUCCUUGGAGCCUCAGACUCCUUACAGGAAGUCAGGGUGGAGCUGAAUUGUUCCUGAGAGAAUGUUCUUCCAUCGGGCUGGGUCUGAGUCACUGGAGGCUGGGUCUGAUCGGGAAGGAGGGUGCAGCCACUGGGGGCUGAGGACACCCACCCUGUCCAGAACUUGUCCCCACCCAGUAUCCUGCCAGCAAGAGGUUUGCAGAAACCCAAACUCAAUUCUAGGUCAGCAGGCCAUGUGGGCCCACUGACAGCAUGUAACACAUAUUUAUGGAGGGCCUACUAUGUGCCAGGUCCUGUUCUAGGUGCAGAGUCACAUGUCGGAAGUCCUUGUGGAGCUUUAGAUCUGCUGGAAGGAGGCAGGCAAGGAAGCCAGUAAACAUAUGGGUGAGUAAUAUGUCAGAUGGUGUCAGGGCCAACCAGGAAAAUCCACAGGUGAGAGGACGGAACAGGUGUAAGAGCUAUUUUAAUCAAUGGUCACAGACGGCCUUUCUGAGACAGACCCUUGACUGGACCUAAGGAGGAGAGAUCCAUGGAGCUGCCUGGUUCCAGGUAGAAGGCACGGCAGGUGCAAAGACCUCAGGGUGGGAUCUUGCCUGGUGGGCUGGUGGAGGAGUGAGGGGGGCAGGGAUAUUGGAGGGGCAAAUCACUUCCCCUUCUCCUUGGCCUCAGUGCUGCUGUCUGUACAUGGGGAUCAUAAUCCACACCUCACGGGGAGUGAGGGAGUUUCCAAUAAUAAGACGGUUAGUCUGGCGCUUUGUAAAUUUCAAAGGUUUUGCUUAUCAAGUAGAAAGGAUUAUGAUAAUGAGCAAAAAACGGCUCUACCCGUCACAGGUGGGAUGCUUUUGUCUUCAAGCAGCAGAGGAUUCCACAAUAAGUAUCCUAUUGUCCUACAUCUUAGGACGGUAUCUUAUGUCUCCAUGAGUCAAGAAAUCCAGUGGAAUUCCAGGUACUUCUGGUUUGGCUGGUGCAGAGAAGGACCCAGAUUCUUUGAAACUUCCCGCUGUGCUCUCCACGUGACUUGACCCUCAGGCUUGCACUCCUAAGCUCGUAGGAUUGCUCCACAGCUCCAGGUGUCCCACCCUCAUGUAAGAGGUGAAAGCCAAAGAAAGAACAUGUCUCCUCCUGCUGCUGCUUUAUGAGAGCCUGAAACCCUUUCCCAGAAGCUUCCAGCAGAUUUGAUCGCCUGUUACUUUGACCAAAAUUGCAUCCCAAGUGCAUUGGUAGGCCUGGUGCUGGUAGAGGAAGUGGAAUUAUUAUGGCUUGGCCAAUGGGUUUUCGCCAGAGAGGCACAAGCCCUGGGGAUGUUUGGAAAUGGGUGGUGGUGGUGGAGGGGUGGCUUGGCUCAAUGACUGGUGACAUUACUGGCAUUCAGCUGGGUGGGGCUGGGAAUGCUGGAUGCUUCCAAGGUGCUGGACAGUCCACAUAAGACAGACUGUCCUGUUUCCCACACAAAUUUCAGUCCCCUCUGGUCGCUCUUGUGUGAAAAGCUAUUUAAUCAUCUUAGCCUAGAGCCUACAUCAACUUAAUAUCAAAACAAGAUAUGUUUGUAAGAUUUUAGUGUACACUGAAUAUAAUAUUUAUAUUCAAGUGUCUUCUUUAUUUUUCUGCCCUUCUGCUGUAGCGUGACUCCUGAUCUUCUAUCCAAACUUCUUCUGCAGAUGCUGGCUAGGAUCUAAGUGUUUGUUAUGUCUCUGUGUGUGCCUGUGUCUGUGUCUGUUCAUUUGCAUAUUGAAAUAUGAUUUAAUUUAUUACAAAUUAUUUUAUUAAAAAUUAUUGUCCUUUUAUUUCUUUUUAUUGUCCCCUUAGGGCAUUGUAAUGAGUUUUUAAGUAGGUGUAUGAUGUUAUAGGUUAAUUAUUUAUGACUUUCAUUUCAGGGCAGUAAAGAGAUCAUUAAGCACAGUUCUUCUUUGGAAGAGGUCAUGGGUCUGACAAAGUUGAGAAUUCCUGGCUUGGAUCCAACAAGAGUCAUGUCCGGGGGCUUGGGGAGAGCCUGUGUCCUGAAACUCAUGGCUCCCAGGCGACUGGACCACAUGGAGGUUGAGUCAGGAUGGAAGAAGCCCCUGGGAUGCUUUGCCCCACCCUGGGAGGAUGGGCUCCUGGAGCUGAGGACCACCGAGUCUUGCAGGAUCCUGGGCAGCUCAAGGCCCCCAUCGACCAGCGGACUGAUCAAUACUUUGUCAGUGAAGCUUCCUGGCAGCCCAGAACUGGGCUUUUAGGACUAGGGCUGUGAUUGGCAGGGACGCUGGGGACCUGGCUUCCUGGAUGUCCUGGCUGGUGGGUGGACACAGGCCUCCUCAAGUGGCUCUGAGAAGAGCCUCAUCAAUUCAUUCACAGCAGGUGGGUGCCAAAUUCUGCAGGUAAAUGAGGGCAGGACGACAGGGCACAUGCCCAGGGCAGGUGUUUACACAGUGAGCGUCCACCGAACAUUGCUGGCUGUCUGUCCUGACAUCUCGAGUGUUGGAUGUGUUGAACAUGCCUGGCCCUUGCACACGCCUGCGGGCUGCAUUUGAGUCUGGGACAUCCAGACGUGACCCCUGUGGUGGCCCCUCCAGAAAUACCUGUGGAUUUGGUGGUGGAAGCCGAGCCUGAGAGGCCAGUUCUGAUGCAUCAUGGGCCCUCACAGCUGCUGCAGGGGUGGAUUUCCCAGGGCCGCCAGGGAUUUCCCUUCCCCUGUCUCCUCCUCUGUCUCACUCUGCCCUCCUCCUCCCUCCUUCCCUGAUCAGGCACAGCUGACACAUGAGCCCCUGGAGGUCUGGGGAUUAUGGAGUCUGGGCAGACACAUGCCAGGGGCUGAGGAAUCACUCAGCAGCUGUUGGGGCCCAGGCUGCCAGGGGGUUUGCUCCAGCCCCAGGGAAGGAUGCAGCCUCCUGACCUCCUACCUGGCAGAGGCCACACAGAGACAGUAUGUGCACCCCUGGAUGCAGGGGAUGCAGGGAAGGAACGGACCCUGUCCCCACCCCAAGGGACAUCCAGGCCUGCAGCUGGAUGAGCAUUAGUCAGACUGUGGACUGAAUCUGGUCCUUACACUCAGCAUGGAUGAGGAAACUGAGACACAGCAUGCUCCAUGGAGGCACAGUGUGUUCAGUAAACUUGACCAAGGUCACACGGCUGGGAGGAAGUAGAUGCAAAGGGAUAAGCAUUCGGGAUCCAGAAUCUACGCUUCAACCAGCUUGCCCUAAUGCUUCCAAGACUGUAUGAAGUUUUAGAAAAUAACAAAAGUUGCAUUUCCCCCCACAUGAGUGGUGGACUGAGAUGGGCCUCAUCCUCUCUAAAGAGGACCUGUCUGCACCGGACAGUCUCUUGACAUCUCUGAGGAUGAACACAUUGGAAUGCGGCCAUCAGGUGGCCACACCUAACAGCAGGACAGUGAAUGCAGGUGGGUGGCACGUGCAGACUGACACACAUGUGAUGGUGUGGUGCGGUGACCUCACACCACAAGAGCACGCCCGUGGAUGUCGGGUGGACAGUCUUCCCUCCAUGUCAACAGUUAGUGCUGUCCUUAAAAAUUCAAUGCGUCUUAAAAUCACGGGAAGAGGAUACAAGGAAAAGCCAUCGUGGUGACUGCAUGGUGUAGGGUUCAAGAGGGUGGGCUCCUGAGUGCAGCUGUCUGAGAUCAAAUCCCACGUUGCCACUUUAUUGCUGUGUGACUUUGGGUAAGUUACUAACUUCUCUAUUAUUCACUUACCUCAUUGGUAACCUGGGUGAUCAAACUCACACCGACUUCCUGGGACUGUGGGGGCUGAAUGAGCUGAGGCACCUCGCACGCCCAGGCCCCAGCUGCCCGCAGUGAUAGGCAGCACCUGCAUGUGUGUUGGCACUAUUGUUCCUCAGCACUCCCUACCUCACCCAAGCCCCCACAGACUUUGAAUGCCAUUUCAGGUCUUCCUCUUCCAGGAGGCCCUCACUGACCAUCACAGGCUAUGAGUACCUCAUGUAACCUCUGAUCAGCACCCAGACCUCCCCAAGUCAGCAUGUCGGGUGUGUGUCUCCACAUCCAGUAACAAUCACAGUGGGGAUGAUGGUGAUCAUGGCCACAGCGAAUGGCUAUUGAGUCCCAAAAACAGGCCACGAGUUGCAUUUCACUCUCCCAGCCACGUUUGUUUUUUGAGACAGAUUCUUGCUCUGUCACUAGGGCUGGAGUGCAGUGGCACAAUCUUGGCUCUCUGCAACCUCCACCUCCUGAGUUCAAGGGAUUCUUCUGCUUAAGCCUUA